UAGAUGCGAGAGUAGAGCAUAUCAAUAAGCGGAGGAAAAGAAACUAACAAGGAUUCCCUUAGUAACGGCGAGUGAAGCGGGAAGAGCUCAAAUUUGAAAUCUUCAAGGUUUUACCUUGACGAAUUGUAGUUUAAAGAAGUGUUUUCUGUUGGAGUUUUGGUAAAAGUUCAUUGGAAUAGGACAUCAUAGAGGGUGAGAAUCCCGUAUUUGACCAUUAUUUUCAGCUUUGUGAUACACUUUCAAAGAGUCGGAUUGUUUGGGAAUGCAGUCCAAAAUGGGUGGUAAAUUUCAUCUAAAGCUAAAUAUUGGCGAGAGACCGAUAGCGAACAAGUACCGUGAGGGAAAGAUGAAAAGAACUUUGAAAAGAGAGUUAAACAGUACGUGAAAUUGUCAAAAGGGAAGCGUUUGACACCAGUGUUGUUUUCUCGAAAAUCAAUUAAAAAAGGCCGGAUUUUGUGUUGUAUUGACCUUAAAAGCUUUCUUCACUCUUUUCUUGUCUUUUUUAAUGCACUUUUCGUUUAACAAGUCAACAUCAGUUUCUUUUGUUGUAAAAGGGUCAUUGGAAGGUGGCUUUCUUUUCGGAGAAAGUGUUUAUAGCCUUUGAUCUCUGCAACCGGAGAGACUGAGGUCUGCAGCGUAGACUCUUCGGGGUUAGAUACAUUUGUGCUAAGCUAUAGCUUUUUAUAGACAACUUGUUGACUAUAUUUAGUCUUGUGGCUUACUCGCUUAUGCUAUUUUACCUACGCUUAGGAUGUUGACACACGCGCGUGCUCG
rnacentral:rRNA from 1 species